rnacentral:rRNA from 1 species
CCAAACUGUUGCCUCGGCGGGAUCUCUGCCCCGGGUGCGUCGCAGCCCCGGACCAAGGCGCCCGCCGGAGGACCAACCAAAACUCUUUUUGUAUACCCCCUCGCGGGUUUUUUAUAAUCUGAGCCUUCUCGGCGCCUCUCGUAGGCGUUUCGAAAAUGAAUCAAAACUUUCAACAACGGAUCUCUUGGUUCUGGCAUCGAUGAAGAACGCAGCGAAAUGCGAUAAGUAAUGUGAAUUGCAGAAUUCAGUGAAUCAUCGAAUCUUUGAACGCACAUUGCGCCCGCCAGUAUUCUGGCGGGCAUGCCUGUCCGAGCGUCAUUUCAACCCUCGAACCCCUCCGGGGGGUCGGCGUUGGGGAUCGGCCCUGCCUCUUGGCGGUGGCCGUCUCCGAAAUACAGUGGCGGUCUCGCCGCAGCCUCUCCUGCGCAGUAGUUUGCACACUCGCAUCGGGAGCGCGGCGCGUCCACAGCCGUUAAACACCCAACUUCUGAAAUGUUGACCUCGGAUCAGGUAGGAAUACCCGCUGAACUUAAGCAUAUCAAUAAGCCGGAGGAA